AGUGAACGCUGGCGGUAGGCCUAACACAUGCCAGUCGAACGGCAGCACAGUAAGAGCUUGCUCUUACGGGUGGCGAGUGGCGGACGGGUGAGGAAUACAUCGGAAUCUACUUUUUCGUGGGGGAUAACGUAGGGAAACUUACGCUAAUACCGCAUACGACCUACGGGUGAAAGCAGGUGAUCUUCGGACCUUGCGCGAUUGAAUGAGCCGAUGUCGGAUUAGCUAGUUGGCGGGGUAAAGGCCCACCAAGGCGACGAUCCGUAGCUGGUCUGAGAGGAUGAUCAGCCACACUGGAACCGAGACACGGUCCAGACUCCUACGGGAGGCAGCAGUGGGGAAUAUUGGACAAUGGGCGCAAGCCUGAUCCAGCCAUACCGCGUGGGUGAAGAAGGACUUCGGGCUGUAAAGCCCUUUUGUUGGGAAAGAAAAGCAGCAGGUUAAUACCCCGCUGUUCUGACGGUACCCAAAGAAUAAGCACCGGCUAACUUCGUG
rnacentral:rRNA from 1 species